AAAGUGUUCCUAAAACAACUGAUAGCUUUAUCAAACCAGAGCCCUGAGGUCAUUGGAUGUUUAUCGGAGAAGGAAGUGUUCUUUAAGGCAAAUGGGUCUCUCUCAGAUAAUGAGGCGGCAAGUUGAUCAAGGAAGAUAGAAGUGCCUUGGGAAUGGAAAAUGGGGUUUAGGAGCCAGAAUAGAGACAGCAGUAGGUAAGGAUAACAAGGAAUAAUGUAAGAGAUCUAGAAAACUUCACAUUGAUUUCUUGUACUGACUUGGAGAGUCUAGGUAACACAUUGAGUAGCCAGCAAGGCAGAUAAAGUGAUGGAUUAACAAAGACAAAAGAUUGGAGGAUAGUAACAGUUUCAUAGGAAGCAAUAAUGUGGAUGGUUUGUUUAUGGUGUCAUGUGUAUAUUUGGUUUAUGAACCAUGGUCUUAAAUCUAUAAAUAAACUAUGGCUAAAUAGACCAUAAGUGCCAUGAUUUGUGAGCCCAAUACAGAAUACAAAGAUAUUCUAGAGCUAUGCUGGAAUCAUAGCAGAGUGAAUCCAGACAAAUUAAAAUAGGUGUGUUCUGAAAUCUGAAAAAAAGAACACUUGAACCUCAUAAAAUGCAAACUGCUAGAAAUUAGAUUAUUGAGAAUUCCUCUGGUACUGCUAUGAAUUUAUACUGUUUAGAAGAGUGGUAAUUUACAUUUUUUCCUCCCUAAUUUAGCUAAUUAAAAGAUUCUCGUAGGAUUGUGUUUUUAUCAGAUUUUAUCAGUUUCAGGCAGUGGAAUCUCCGGGAAAUUCUAAUUAGUUAUUUGAGCUAAUAUGUACAUACUGCUGCUAAUUCAGAAGCCCCAUUUAUACAGCCUGCUUAAGCAGGUAUUUUAAAAUUAUGUGUGCAACUUCAAAAACUUGGUCAUUCUAAGUUAGGUCUGAGCCUCAGUUUACUCUGGUGACUGUGGUGUGUAAUUUAUUUUAAGUAGGCCAAUAUAUGUCAUGCAAACCUAUAAGAGAGGGUUGACCCUGGAACUGGAAGAUGAUGCAGGUUAGGGAAACUAUCCUUCCUAAGCUUCCUCAAUGAAAUCACAAAGUUACUGCAACUUUUUAGUAUUUCAUUGAAUUGAGAACAGUGAAGUAGCAAGGCUGAUAGCUAAAACAAGGGCUGGAGAUUAAUAUAAUCAAACCAAAGAGUCAGUUAGGACAUACAUUGUCACUGGGACUGUGGCAAGAAAAGUUUAUUUUGCUGCCCCCAUUUAAUGUGCAGAUUGACUGAUAGUAGAAAUUUUCCAGGUUGUUAAGGCUGGUUUAUUGCUGACCCAUUGGGUCAACAUUCCACUUUUGAAGGAUUGUUUGGCCACUUACAGUUAUAUUUUACAAAAUUGCUCAUAUUCAAUGCCUAGUUUCAAGUAAUAAGAGAUGGGUGUAGCCGCUACAUUGUUUGAUUUUAAGGUCUAGAUCAUUUUGUAGCUGUCAUUUUCAGACAGUCUUGAGGAAUAUUGAUUCUCUGAGAUUCAUUCCAAAUUGGAUCCAUUCCAGUUUGUCUUCCUAUCUGGGUUUAGGGUAAGAAAUUAUUUAGUCAUGUUGGUAGAUGAUAUAGAUCAAGAAAUGGAUAUGAUUGUAUCAAGUUGGGUCUCUAUUAUAUUUUGGUUGGUUUUCAUAUUAUCUGUCAUCCAUAGUAUCUUUUUGGAUUGUAUUUAUGGAUUGGAACUUGGGGCAGAGUUCAGAAGAUGGAUCCUGAGGAGAUCUCUAUUCCCAACUCUUGUUCUUUGAGAGGCUUCAAAUCAGGAGCCUGGUAGCAUCUUUUCCACUAACAAAUUUUAGUAAAAGGCAUAAGCUUUCAUGAAACAUCAUCAGAUGUGAAACUUUUUUUAAUGAAACUUCAUCAGAUGUUUGAGAUACUUCAGGGUUAGGGUUAGGGUCCCUCUUCUCCCCUUUAAACUGCUGGAAGAAAUAAUCCAGAAGAUUAUUUCUAAAAUGCCAUCAGUAUACAAAUUAUAAGCAGCUUUGUCUCUCCUCUAAUUCCAAGAAUACAAUGGAAAACCUAAACAGGAAGGUGAAAAGAUGACUGAAGUUCUGGGAUGAAUGAGGGCAAACAGAUUGAAGCUUAAUCCAGGCAAGACCAAAAUGUUAUUGAUGGGGAACUCUCGAUGUGAAUGGAGAAGUGCAUCUGACUCUGGAUAGGGCUGCAUUCCCCCUAAAGAGCCAGACUGAUAACCUAGGAUAACAAACCAACCUAUUUCAUAAAGAAGAAGAAAAUCUGCCAUUACUUACAGUGUGAGAAUCAUGUCUGUUCGUGAGUCCUUUAAUCCAGAAAGUUAUGAACUUGAUAAAAGUUUUCGGUUAACCCGAUUCACAGAACUUAAAGGCACUGGAUGUAAAGUGCCUCAGGACAUUUUGCAGAAAUUGCUUGAAUCUUUACAAGAAAAUCAUUUCCAAGAAGAUGAACAAUUUUUGGGAGCUGUUAUGCCAAGAUUGGGAAUUGGAAUGGAUACUUGUGUUAUUCCUUUAAGACAUGGAGGUUUGUCUUUGGUCCAGACAACAGACUACAUUUAUCCCAUUGUGGAUGACCCUUAUAUGAUGGGACGCAUAGCAUGUGCCAAUGUUCUUAGCGAUCUUUAUGCUAUGGGAGUCACUGAAUGUGACAAUAUGUUGAUGCUUCUUGGUAUCAGUAAUAAAAUGACAGACAGGGAAAGGGAUAAAAUAAUGCCUCUAAUUAUCCAAGGAUUUAAAGAUGCUGCAGAAGAGGCAGGAACGUCAGUGACUGGUGGUCAAACAGUAUUAAACCCUUGGAUUGUUUUAGGAGGAGUAGCUACAACUGUCUGUCAGCCUAAUGAGUUUAUCAUGCCAGAUAAUGCUGUACCAGGAGAUGUGCUGGUGUUAACCAAACCAUUGGGAACACAAGUAGCUGUAGCUGUCCAUCAGUGGUUAGACAUUCCAGAAAAAUGGAAUAAAAUCAAGUUGGUUGUUACACAAGAAGAUGUGGAACUAGCAUAUCAAGAAGCAAUGAUGAAUAUGGCAAGACUCAACAGAACAGCUGCAGGGCUCAUGCAUACGUUUAAUGCUCAUGCAGCUACAGACAUCACAGGCUUCGGAAUCCUGGGACAUGCACAAAAUCUAGCAAAGCAGCAACGUAAUGAGGUGUCUUUCGUUAUACAUAAUCUCCCUGUUCUUGCCAAAAUGGCUGCUGUUAGCAAAGCAUGUGGGAAUAUGUUUGGUCUUAUGCAUGGGACUUGUCCUGAGACAUCAGGAGGCCUCCUUAUUUGCUUACCACGUGAACAGGCAGCACGUUUCUGCGCUGAAAUCAAGUCUCCAAAAUAUGGUGAAGGUCACCAAGCAUGGAUUAUUGGGAUUGUAGAAAAGGGCAAUCGUACUGCCAGAAUUAUAGACAAACCUCGAAUCAUUGAAGUUGCGCCCCAAGUAGCCACUCAGAACGUAAACCCCACACCUGGGGCAACUUCUUAAUCUAGAUGAAAUAGUUAUUUUUUUGUUUCAGUUUUUUAAAAAAUAGAUAUAUUCCUUUAUCAUCUUACAGCCUAAAGAACUGUAUAAAGAGAAGAAGAAACACAUUGUGUCUGCAAAUCUGGUGGCCUUAGGUAAUUGGUGCAUGGAGGGCUGAGAAGUGAGAGAAAAUGGAUUUGGUCUCAUAAAUUCUUGCUUGGAAUUCCAGAAGAAUACACACAAAGAAAUGGUGUCCCCCACUCUGAAGCUUAUGAAAUUGCAAGCAGAAAAAGGCAUCUGAUAAAAUGCAGAGCCUCAAACUAUUCAGACCAUAAAGAUCGUGUUCUUUAUAAAUGUUGGUCUCCAUCGGUAAAAGCACCUUUAGGCUGAUUACAUGGAUUGUAGUUUUCUUGCCAACAAGGGCUGACUUUGGCUGAUCUCUGAAAGUUAUGCAGAGUACUUCAGAUGGGAAUCCACCAGAAAAUCUAGAACUUCCUAGGAGAACUUAAUGGCAACCACUUUCAUAUUGUCACACAACAAUGGCACGAACAUACCCAUAAAGACAAAUUCAGCUUGGAACUUUACCUUUGUCCACCAGAGGACUAUUUCCAUGAUCUGUAGCACUUCAUUUUAAAAGCUUAGGUAUAAAAUCUGCAGAGGAGGUUCUCCACGCCUCACAGUUGGAAAAGAUGUGUUAUAUGUCGAUGCAAAAGAGACUUUCUGUAUCAUGCCAACUGGCUUUGGAAUACCCUUUUUUUAAAGGCCAAGCUGACACCAACAUAGCUUGCUUUUUGGAUCCAGGUCAAAACCUGGCGUUUUAUUCUUGCAGUCACAACUUAAGGAUUCCAGCCAGGCUUUCCUCCAUUGCCCUUUGCAAUCAUUAUGUCUCUAUUGUUGCAUUAUGGUUAGUGUGUGUGUGUGCGCGCGUGCAUGCACGUGUACCUUCGAGUCAGUGUUGACUCCUGGCAAUUGCCUGGAAUAGUCCCUGCAGUGUUCCUGGCAACGUUUUUUGGAAGUGGCUUGCUAUUGCCUAGAAAGAAUCAGCAUGCAUGUUCAGUCUGAAAGCAAUUGGUUCUUUUAAUUCCACAUGCACAAACAUGCUUUGUCAGAAAGAAAAAUGUCAUUUAUUCUCCAAAAGGACUUUUCAAACUCAAAAUACAUCAAGGAAUUUAGGUGGCACUUUCAAAUAUGACUCUCUUUGGUUUUUGUAUCUGCUAGAUGUUGCAGCAGAGACACCAAAAUACAACACUUUCUUGUGCAUAGCUAUUUUAUCUACACCAUUUAUAUACCACCCACUUCCUUCAUGGUUCUGGACAUUUUUCAAAAAUACCCCUAAAAGCAAUAAUAGGUUGUGUAUGUGUGUGUACAGUUGUGCUUAAGUUUGUGAACCUUUUUGAAUUUAAAUAUUUCUCCAUAAAUAUGACCUAAAAUGUGAUCUGUUCUCCACACAAGACCUAAAACUAGAUCAAGGGAACCCAAUUAAACAAUUGAGUAAAAAACAUGAUACUUGUUCAUUUAUUUAUUGAAGAAAAUGAUCCAAAGCUACAUAUUUGUGUAAUUUAUACUUUCCUUGUACGGGCAGCAAAAGCUGGCAAAGACUAAUCAAACUUCUAAAGUCCAAAGAAGGCUUUUAGAGAUCGGAGUGAUCAGGCAACCUGAGACAGCACUAUGCCCUCCAGGACUCGGAGGGAAAAGUCCUCACUAAAAUGACCAGAUAUUUAAUUCCCUUUCUGAAGUGUUUAAAAGUUCAUCAGGUUUGGACAAAUUCUGACUCAACGUUCAAUAUUUUGAUCUCAGGUGCAAGGGCCAAAUACCUUUUGAAACCAGUGAGUCAAUUUUCAAGGUAUAAAUAUUGUCAUUUAGAUAUUAGUAAAAUUUAGAAGACAAACCACAGCAUAUGUUGAUUUAAGCCUAGGGAUGAGUCGGCUUCCCCAACCUAGAUGUGCCAAACUUCAGUUUCCAUAAUUCUUAGCCGGCAAAGCUAAAGUCAUUUAGAAUUGGGUCCGAUACAUCUUGAGGACAUGUAGUUUGAAAAUGUCAAAAGUUCUGUGAACUUUCUUCAUUACUGUCUUAGCUUAUCUUUUUUAUGGCUUUUAAGACUGCAAUUUUACCAGCAGGGAACAGCAUCUUAAAGACUAGUUGGUUGAUUACUGCAUAAAUAUUAGUGGAUUAUAAUCCAUUUCAUCCAAUACGUGGAUAAUGGUCCUGAGAGAGGAGUUAAUAGGGAAUAAUAAAAGGGUGGUUAAAAAGCAGAAUUAUCUUUAGACACUGACUGUUAUUAAAUCUGUGAUUAGAUGUGGUGCAUACAGUAUAUUCUUACACCGAUGAUUUGAUUAACAUGUGGCACAAUAAAAAAUUCUGAUUUCUAUUUAAUCUGUAAGAAAUGGUGUUAAGUUUUCUAAUAAAUUAUUUGCUCAACAAUCAGAUUCUUCUGAUCAAUGAGGAAGUGGCCUGAAAAACAGAAAUGUUCCUGAUUUAGGUUUUGGAAUAUUGUAAUUUUGUACGUAUGUCAGAUUGUGUCCAAUUCUUUUGCACAGAGAUUGCUUGUUCAUUCACUGUAAACUUUCAUCAUGAGAAAUGAAUUUUGAAACAAAACAGAAGUUCAAGUUUAUUUGGAUAUGGCGUUAAUAGUCUUGUAAUAGUAUCUUGUUAAUAAUAAAGAAUGUUGUGAUCCUUGGAUAACUUUAACGUUUCUUUCCAGAUUGAGUAAUUUCUAAUAAGAUGAUAAAUUUCACUCAAAUCCAUUUCUUAGUGAGAACUGAAAGGGUAUUUAAAAAACAGCCUACCCCAGUGCUUACUAAAUCUGUUUUCUUUGAAUUUUGUAAUCACCAUUUUUA